rnacentral:hammerhead_ribozyme from 1 species
GUCCAGUCGAUGAGUCCCAAAUAGGACGAAAUCCGCAUCCUGGAU